rnacentral:rRNA from 1 species
GAUUAACGCUGGCGGCGUGCAUAACACAUGCAAGUCGAACGAUGAAACUUAACUGAUUUCUUCGGAAUGAUUUUAAGUGGAUUAGUGGCGGACGGGUGAGUAACGCGUGAGUAACCUGACUUGGAGAAGGGGAUAGCCUUUGGAAACGAAGAAUAAUACCCUAUGAUAUGAUAAUAUCUCAUGAUAUUAUCAUCAAAGAUUUAUCGCUCUAAGAUGGACUUGCGUCGGAUUAGUUAGUUGGUGAGGUAACAGCUCACCAAGGCAGCGAUCAGUAGCCGGCUUGGAGGAUGGUACGGCCACAUUGGGACUGAGACACGGCCCAGACUCCUACGGGAGGCAGCAGUGGGGAAUUUUGCACAAUGGGGGAAACCCUAAUGCAGCGAGGCCGCGUGAUUUAGAAGGCCUUCGGGUUGUAAAAAUCUUUUGUAUGGGAAGAAAAUGACAGUACCAUACGAAUAAGGACCGGCUAAUUACGUG